rnacentral:rRNA from 1 species
UACAGAGGGUGCAAGCGUUGUUCGGAAUUAUUGGGCGUAAAGGGUGCGUAGGCGGCGCGGUAAGUUGGGUGUGAAAUCCCUCGGCUCAACCGAGGAACUGCGCCCAAUACUACCGUGCUUGAGGGAGAUAGAGGUGAGCGGAACUUAGGGUGGAGCGGUGAAAUGCGUUGAUAUCCUAAGGAACACCGGUGGCGAAAGCGGCUCACUGGAUCUCUUCUGACGCUGAGGCACGAAAGCUAGGGUAGCGAACGGG